GAUAAAUCACUCAUCUGCGCUAAGUAGGUUUGAAGGUAACGAAAACUUUGUUCCUGAGUGCCUAUCUCUGUCAAAAACCCUUUGAGACACGUAAUAGUAGAAUCCAGAAUUUGUGACAGAUUCAGUUCGUUUCUCUGGAACAUUGUGACAAGUUUCUCCAUGUCUGAUAACAUGGAAAUCGUUGCCACAAAUGAAAAUGUCUCCAACUCAAAUUCGUCUGCUUGCGAUUAGCCGCCAUGCUUUCCGGUUUAUGUAGCCUCGAAGCAAAGUGAAACGUAAUAACAAACGUUUUGAUUCCAGGCUAUCAUGUUCUAAAAUUAGCUGAUGGAGAUAACCCAGUUUCUCUUUUCCAACAAACAGCGACUGAACCUCAACAUCGGCAACAUGACUAUUAAAGAAGAAAUUCCAUCAAGACAGUCUGCUCAGGAACCGGCAGGACUGAACCUGAACAGG